rnacentral:lncRNA from 1 species
UAAUCAUUCGACACUCAGUAGAGGUGCAUUUGUGAAAGCCAUGCUGCUCAAGCCUCCUAUUGAGUACAAAUGCCUUACAAUACAAGGAAAGGAUAGGAGGGGAACAGCAACCCUGAGGUUUGACAGGAGCUACUUUUUACAGUAACAUGGAUCAGAUUUUAAGUUCUUAGAGACCAAAUACUCCAAAGCACAUGCCACAACCAGAAUUCCAGAAACCAAGGUUGACAACUUUCAGAACACAUGGAAAAGACUACAGCUCUAAAACACAGCUACAAACAGUUCUACAGCAGUCUUCAGUCCAAACCAGACUGCACAACAAAGCCUGCCAUGCUAUAGACUUUACCUAAGAGCCAUAAAGUCAAACUUAUAACCAAUAACAUCUUUUCUUUCUCAGUAGCAAUGUUCUACAUUUGUUUCUUUUAGUGUGGCUAUGACAAAUUAUGUGAUAAAAGCAAAUUAAAGGACAGACUAUUUCAAGUCACACUUGAAGAAGACAAUCCAUCAGUAAAAAAAAAUCAUGGCCUCAGCUACUCCAGGUCACUGUAUAAAAAAACCCAGGAAAGAGAGGGAGGAGAAAGAGGGAGGUUAACAAACAGUGUACUCUCACCUAUUCUGAUCAUGACCACAGCACAGCCUAUGAAGCAGUUUUAUUUAUAUGUAGAAUAGAUUGUAUCCAUUCACCUUUUUAAACCCAAUUCAAAGUUUUCUUCACACGCCCAGAGGUUUGUCUCCCAGAUGUCUCUAGAGCCUGGUAAACACCACAGUCACUAUACCCAUUAGAUAUGAAAACAUUUUAUGUAACCAUGGCCAGCAUAGAAAAAAAUUUACUAAAGCUAGGACAUGUAUAUAAACAUCUAAAAUGGUUUUAGAUUGUUCUUACAUCUGUUAAGCAUGAGCAAAAUGUUCAAACAUACAGGGUGAAGGAAAAAAAGGCAUUAAUAAUUGAUGCUAAUCUGUGGGUUCCUUUUAAAUGUUAACUUGCCCAGAUUAAAAAAAGAGAGAGAAAAAGAAAAGGAAAAAGAAAAGAAAAGAAAAAAGAAAAGCUCCAACCUAAGGCAGUAAACUACACCC